rnacentral:tRNA from 2 species
CGGGACGUAGCUCAACCUGGCAGAGCAACGGACUGUAGAUCCGUCGGCUGCCGGUUCAAAUCCGGCCGUCCCGACCA